rnacentral:snoRNA from 1 species
CCCCCCAAGAUUUCUUUCCCAUCAGACCUAAACAUUGAAUUGAGUGCCUAUAACAUGAGGAAAAGGAAAACUGAGACAGACUUGGAUUCUUUUGUGACAUACAAAUUUGUCAAAAAGAAAU